CUUGAUCGACCCCAGCCAGAGCGGCUCGGACCGGUCCUGCCCGUAGGUCGCCAGCAACGCCUGCGCCUC
rnacentral:antisense_RNA from 1 species